ensembl:lncRNA
CCUCUGUGGACAGAGAAAAAUGACUGGUCCCAAAAUCCAGGUGGGAGUAGUUUUAAAAGCACUGUAAAGAACACUGUUACCUUUUCACCUCUGCUUUUUAUUUAUUUUUAUUUUUUAUUUUUUGAUACAGAGUCUUGUUCUGUCACUCAGGCUGGAGGGCAUUGGCAAAAUAUCGGCUCACUGCAACCUUCACCUUCACCUCCUGAGUUCAAGCAAUUCUCCUGCCUCAGCCUCCUGAGUCGCUGUGAUUACAGGGGUGAAAUAGUCCUGAGACUCAUCACUCAGCCCAGGUGCCACUCCAUGAAUGGCCAGGGCCAUCUGCCAUUUGUGUGGCCAGUACCUGUGCCAUCCCAUCACACUAUGGUGGACAGCAGCUGGGUAUUCUGGACCUUGCCUCACGGACAGCCUGGCCUGACCUGGGAGCAGAUGUUGUGGGCCAGUCAGUUCUCUGAGCAGAAGCUGGGUAGACUCGUGAAAGCUGUGACCUGGUUUUGAUUUUCUGAUAUGACAAGUCUGGGUGCUGAUCAAAGUCUGUGCAGAAGCCACUUCAUCUUGAACCUGACUGAAACAUGGAGUCCUAGGUUAGAUUCAGAGCAGAUAGAUGGGGGUAGGGAAGGUUGGAGAAGCUGCCCAAAAAAUGUGAGCUGUGCCAGAAGGAGCCAAACCAAUACUCCUGGGCCCAUGAGGGUGGCUGGAGAGAUGUGAGCUUAUCUCAUGGAGCUGAGAAUCUGCAGUGUUUGGAAACAGUGAAGAUCCCAGAUUGGUUAUAAAAAACUUCAUCAACAAGGUGAUACUGAGAUCACAGAAGAGAGAAGUGGGUAGGAAACAACAUAAACAUUCACCUCUGGCUAAGAACUGGGGAAUCUUGUUUUGUCUGAAGUUCACAAAGAAGUCACGGGAGGUGAGUUUGGAGAAUGGACUAUGCUGUACAUCAGGGAAAGGAAGAUGAGCUGUAUUGGAUAGACAAUGUGAAGACAGUCCUUUCAACAAAGCGCCCACCCCAACCCUUUUCUUUAGACAGUAUCUGGCUGUGUUGCAAAGGCUAGAGUGCAGUAACAUGAUCAUGGAUCACUGCAUCCUCAAACUCCUGGCUCAAGCGAUCUCCCACUUCAGCCUCUGGGGUAGCUGGGACUACCGGCAUGCACCACCAUGCCUGGCUCCAACAAACCCUCUUAAUGCCAUUGCUUUGAGCACUGCCAGGUCCCCAGGCAUCAGCCACACUGUCCCUGUCUAACCAGGCGGAGGCUCAUUGGGCCUGUUUCAGGAUCAGCUUUGAUUUGGAAAAGACAUUUCAAUCUCAAAAGUUAAGGAUUGGAGCAAAUAUGCAGGGUGAUGGUUGGGGAUUUGGCAACGUGGCCCCAUUAACAUUAGUGGGAGUUAGUCUGCUAAAUCCAGACACUGAGCAGAAUCCUCAUGUUUAUUUACGGUGACCUUUCUGCUGUAAAUUGAUACAAUAUUUGAGAUUCACUUAGAACUGAUUAAGCUUUGUAGCAUCUCGCUCUCCUAAAAGGGAAAUCUUUCUGAAAACUGCUGCUGUGUGCACUGAAAUGUUUGUAUUUAUGGGAACUUUGGC